rnacentral:rRNA from 1 species
UAGGGAAUCUUGCGCAAUGGGCGAAAGCCUGACGCAGCAACGCCGCGUGGGGGAUGAAGGCCUUCGGGUUGUAAACUCCUUUUAGUGGGAACGAAAUUGACGGUACCCACAGAAAAAGCCCCGGCUAACUACGUGCCAGCAGCCGCGGUGAUACGUAGGGGGCGAGCGUUGUCCGGAUUUACUGGGCGUAAAGAGCUCGUAGGCGGUUUAGUAAGUCGGGUGUGAAACCUCUAGGCUUAACCUAGAGACGCCACUCGAAACUACUAUGACUAGAGUCUGGUAGGGGACCAUGGAAUUCCUGGUGUAGCGGUGAAAUGCGCAGAUAUCAGGAGGAACACCAGUAGCGAAGGCGGUGGUCUGGGCCAGUACUGACGCUGAGGAGCGAAAGCGUGGGGAGCGAACAGGAUUAGAUACCCCCGUAGUCC